rnacentral:rRNA from 1 species
UACGGAGGAUGCGAGCGUUAUCCGGAUUUAUUGGGUUUAAAGGGUGCGUAGGCUGUUCGGAAAGUCAGGGGUGAAAGCCCGGCGCCUAACGCCGGAACUGCCUUUGAUACUUCCGAGCUGGAAUACGGAUGCCGUGGGAGGAAUGAGUAGUGUAGCGGUGGAAUGCAUAGAUGUUACUCAGAACACCGAUUGCGAAGGCAUCUCACGAAUCCGUCAUUGACGCUGAGGCACGAAAGCGUAGGGACCAAAC